GACGAACGCUGGCGGCGUGCUUAACACAUGCAAGUCGAACGAAGUGGCGAACGGGCGAGUAACACGUGAGGAACCUGCCUUUCACAGGGGAAUAACACUGGGAAACCAGAGCUAAUACCGCAUAGUGAAAGAUGGCCUCGCGCCUGAUUAGCUGGUAGGUGAGGUAACGGCGCACCUAGGUGAUGAUCAGUAGCCGGACUGAAGGUUGAUCGGCAGCAUUGGGACGGGGAUACGGCCCAGAGUCCUACGGGGGGGAGCAGUGGGGGAUAUUGCACAAUGGCGAUAGCCUGAUGCAGCGACGCCGCGUGGGGGAUGAGGGCUUUCGGGUUGUAAACCUCUUUCCAUCGAACAGGGUAGGUGGAGAAGAAGCGCCGGCUAACUACGUGCCAGCAGCCGCGGUAAUAC
rnacentral:rRNA from 1 species